CUGGCGGCGUGCCUAACACAUGCAAGUCGAACGAAACUGAUUUCAUGAAACUUCGGUAGAUUGGAUGAAAGUUGAGUGGCGGACGGGUGAGUAACACGUGGGCAACCUGCCUCACAGAGGGGGGAUAGCAGUUGGAAACGACUGAUAAUACCGCAUAAGCACACAGUACCGCAUGGUACAGGGUGAAAAGAUUUAUCACUGUGAGAUGGACCCGCGUCUGAUUAGCCAGUUGGCAGGGUAACGGCCUACCAAAGCGACGAUCAGUAGCCGACCUGAGAGGGUGACCGGCCACAUUGGGACUGAGACACGGCCCAAACUCCUACGGGAGGCAGCAGUGGGGGAUAUUGCACAAUGGAGGAAACUCUGAUGCAGCCAUGCCGCGUGUGUGAAGAAGGCCUUCGGGUUGUAAAGCACUUUCGGAGGGGAGGAAAAGAUGACGUUACCCUCAGAAGAAGCACCGGCUAACUCCGUG
rnacentral:rRNA from 1 species